UUUUAGGAGGCGCUUUGUGAAGAUAAAAGCUGACCAUGUUGCCCGCAGCAUGCUUGUCACACGGAUAUCUGCACACAUGAGCUCCAGGCUUCAUCACGUGGUGCUUACGUGUGCUUGGCCAGGACCACUUAUUUUAUGCAAUUGAAGUGCACAAGGCCCAUACCGCAGGGGGAAAUGGGCAGCGCUGCUGUUUGGAGAACUGUGGGCUUCGCCGCUGGUGAGAAACCACAGCCCUGAGAUCUGAUCUUCCCUCGAGUUUCCAGACUGAAAUACGCAACUGCUGAGCUGUGGAGAAAAGGCCCAUUUCCUAGAGAUGGUGGGAAAGGCUAUAAGAACAGAGUCCUUCUGUUUACACAAGCAUGAAUUGAAUUCUCAGCUGAUUGACAGUUCACAAAAAUAAACGCUCCAUACAUGUGCUGUGGGCAAAUUCCAUGGCAGUCCGG
rnacentral:lncRNA from 1 species